GAUGAACGCUGGCGGCGUGCCUAAUACAUGCAAGUCGAGCGAACAGACGAGGAGCUUGCUCCUCUGACGUUAGCGGCGGACGGGUGAGUAACACGUGGAUAACCUACCUAUAAGACUGGGAUAACUUCGGGAAACCGGAGCUAAUACCGGAUAAUAUAUUGAACCGCAUGGUUCAAUAGUGAAAGACGGUUUUGCUGUCACUUAUAGAUGGAUCCGCGCCGCAUUAGCUAGUUGGUAAGGUAACGGCUUACCAAGGCAACGAUGCGUAGCCGACCUGAGAGGGUGAGGGCCACCACGGGAACUGGCACCCGGCCCAGCCUCCACGGGGAGGCGGAGGAGGGGAUUCUUCCGCAAGGGGGAAAGCCCGGAGGGAGCAGGCCCGCGGGAGUAAGAAGGGUUUUCGAAUCUAAAACCUUUUUUAUGAGGAAAAAAAAAAUGUUAAAGUAACUAUGCGCGUCUGGAGGGACCUAAAUAAAAAACCCCCGGCAAACUCCGGC
rnacentral:rRNA from 1 species